rnacentral:sRNA from 1 species
AUUCGAACCUGCCGCAGGUUCGGGUCGAACGCAGUGAGACAACGGAGCCGUUUACGGCGACGGCCCGUAGGGCGAGCGAAGCGAGUCAUCCUGCACGACCCACCA